CAUGCAAACUCCACACAGAAAGGCACCUGUGCGACCAGGGACUGGAACCAAGAGCCUUCUCGCUGUGAGGCAACAGCGCUCCACUGCAUCAUCGUGCAGCCUGGAUUCCUUUAUUGCAGCAGGAAAACAUUUUCGGCAAAAAGCUGUGAAAACCUCCUUGCACUUGCCAUCAAACAAUACCCAGGUGCAGUUCCCAUUGCUGUUGUUGGUGGAGACCAAAAACAGAGCUAAAGGUGCUGACUUGUUGUUCGAGAAGACAGUUCUCCCUGGAGAGAGGAGGAACUUGGGUCAGCCUGCGUGCCGAGCAUGAGACUAUGAAAAUGGAGGUGACAGGAUGUUGAUGAGGAGGCCCAGAGCGUUACCUCCACCCACCGUGCCCUGGAGUGCUCCACUCUGCCAGCCGAUCAAAGACUCAAGCCUGAGACUUUCCUUUUAACCUAUCAGAUCUCACAGAACAAACAAAACCAAGGAUCAAAGAUGGUUCAAGGGGGAUGGUGAUGGGAGCAGUGUUGACAAUACUACAAACAAAGAUGGAAGCUAUAGCUCUCUUCUAUGGAUGCAUAUCGCUGCCUCAAGGAGAAUCCAGGUUUGAGAGUUUUAGGAAAUCCUGUAAAAGUCUAUGCACCAAAAAGAAAAAAAAGAUCCCACCUUGAUGACCUCUCAACUCCGAGAACAGGCUGCUGUCACCUAGCUGGUAAUUACCUGCCAAUCAGAGCAGAAGAUGGACCUGCAAAGAAAAUGGGGGUGGCAGUCAAAGAUCAGGCCAAGCCACAGGGACCGACAGAGAGGAAGAGAAGAAGAAGAAAUGCGAAGAAGAGAUCGAGGGUGAGGUUCAGAGAAAGAGCUGAGACAGGGAGGCUCAUAAUGAGGCCUGUGAAAGAGACACAGCUGUCAGCGUCAGAGGGAGACUGAGAAACACACACACACACACACACACACACACACACACACACACACACAAACUCCCUCAUUCCUCUUAUGUGGAUGCCAAUUUGGGGGCUUUCAUCUGGGGACGCCACUGUGCUCCAUUUUGGGCCUCUGAUACUGUACGCCUGCUAUUGUACAAGACAAACUGCAACGGAUACAGCCGUGAACGCUUCUGUCGAGCAUUUGAUUAGAGAGGAUAAAGGGAAUACCAAAACAAGAACUGAAAUCUGGGCUACAUCUUCAAAUAAUGCUCUACAAUCACAUAAAGACUAUUUGGGGGAAUGUUUAAGAGUUUAAUGAACACUUACUGAUGGUUAAUUGAUUACAUUAUGUUUAAUUUUGAGUGAAAUUUCUGAAGGGAUGGUUUCUCGUCUUCGACAGCUCAUUGGUGUUAAAAAGCAACACAUUCUCCUGCUCUGUUGGAUUCAUUAUUAAUGCUAGAUCAUUAAUAUUGUAUGACUCGUAGUUCCUGGAGUGUUGAACCAAACUGCACUUCAACUUUGACUUUCAGGCACUGUCACUGAGUUUUUGUUGGCUUUUGUAGAAAUUGAAGCUCUCUCCGGUAUGUUUCAAAUCGAGGAUUUUUGAGUGCAUGCAGUGAAUUUCAAGUUCAAUGCUUUGUUGAACACAGAGUUUUUGAACUUUUGUAAAAUAAGGAAACUCAAACAGAGCUUUCAUGCCUGAAAUACUCAUGGUGGGUUUGGGGAUUGACUUUUCUAAACAGGUGGAACCACUUGUCUCCCUCAACAAACACAUCUCAAAAACAGGAAAGUGUUGUUUUUGCUGGAUACCUCUCCACUCCCCAAUGACACAGACCCAAUAUCAAUACCACUCAUCUCAAAAGGACUGGAUUUAAUACACUGUAUGGCUCACCUGCAAAGAUUUGUAACUAUUGUAGGUAGUCAGUGAAUUCUUUAUGGAUAAUCAAACAGCAUCCAAAAACUUUUUGAUGCUGAAAUUGAGGGAUGGCAUCAAAAAGUUUUUGUAACUUUUCAAAACCAAGAAUCUGACAAGCAAAGGUAAUAAACCGAGCACUAGUUAAACUUCUCUUGUACUCUUGUUUGCUCUGUAUAACCAGGGAAUUAAGAAAUGUAUGUGUUCCAAAGAGCUGCAACAUAUUGACUUCCUAUGAGGAAGUACUGUCCCAAAGUGUCCACCAUUAUCACCAUUUUUAUGUAAUAAACGGACCAUGCUUCUGU